UACGUAGGCAGCGAGCGUUGUUCGGAGUUACUGGGCGUAAAGGGUGUGUAGGCGGUUCUUUAAGUUUGGCGUGAAAUCUCCCGGCUCAACCGGGAGGGUGCGUCGAAUACUGUGCGGCUAGAGUGCGGAAGGGGCAACUGGAAUUCUCGGUGUAGCGGUGAAAUGCGUAGAUAUCGAGAGGAACACCUGCGGCGAAGGCGGGUUGCUGGGCCGACACUGACGCUGAUGCGCGAAAGCCAGGGGAGCGAACGGG
rnacentral:rRNA from 1 species